ACUCAAAUGAAUUGACGGGGGCCCGCACAAGCGGUGGAGCAUGUGGUUUAAUUCGACGCAACGCGCAGAACCUUACCCGGGCUAGAAAAUGCAGGAACCUGGUCGAAAGGUCGGGGUGCUCUUCGGAGAACCUGUAGUUAGGUGCUGCAUGGCUGUCGUCAGCUCGUGUCGUGAGAUGUUGGGUUAAGUCCCGCAACGAGCGCAACCCAUGUUGUCAGUUGCCAGCGGUUCGGCCGGGCACUCUGACGAGACUGCCGAUAUUCAAAUCGGAGGAAGGUGUGGAUGACGUCAAGUCCUCAUGGCCCUUAUGUCCGGGGCUACACACGUGCUACAAUGGCUACUACAGACCGUAGCGAACCCGCGAGGGGGAGCCAAUCGGAAAAAAGUAACCUCAGUACAGAUAUGAGUCUGCAACUCGACUCAUUGAAGUUGGAAUCGCUAGUAAUCCCUGAUCAGCAGGCAGGGGUGAAUACGUUCCCGGGCCUUGUACACACCGCCCGU
rnacentral:rRNA from 1 species